rnacentral:rRNA from 1 species
UAAUGUAAUUCCUACAACAUUUAUGCACCAGAUCCCAUUAGAAAUCCAAAUUUAAGUGUGUUUGGGAUAAAGUAGUACUAGGAUGGGUGACCUAUCGGGAAGUCCUAGUUUUACAGGCU